AUGAAACUUUUAUGUUCUCACACUGUUUCAUUUAUCACUUUCCAGGACAACUCUUCUCCAUAUGGAUUAAAUGCUGGGAGGCUCUUUGCCUUGAUUUUUCUCUUUUUAGAGUCUCUACUGUGUAACAGUCGAUUAUGUGAUAUCAGCUUAUUCAUCAGCCCUCCUAAUGGGUGCACCCUCUCAAUUACAGGCACGGCAUCGUCAUGGGAAGAAGGCCCUGUGCUGGGCGGUGCAGCAUCCGGUCUGUUCCUGUCCUCCUCCAGGAUUGUUCUUGUGAAUUCUUUCAGAAUAACGUACAGCUCACUGAGGCCUGUGACCACAUUCACAGAGAGUAGGAUGAAGAUCGCUGGGCUCCAAGGUGUGGGCUGAGUGUCUGCUGCACGCAGGGCCUGUGCUGACAACAGGAACCUACCUGCCCUGGCCAAGCUGCCAGACACGGUGGGAGAGACCACAGUAGGUGCGGACACACGGGCAGACCCCUGAGAAGACAGGAGCGGCUUCCUGGGGAGGCGGCUUCUAGAACGAGCCCUGCAGGAUAAGGACAGGUAAGAACUCCAGUCAUUGAAAACACUUUGUCCCGGGGAACACAGGGCAGGAGGGCAGCCUGCUGGCCGGGCCAGGUUUUGUUGUUGCUGUUGAGGAUGAGCUUUUAAAUCAGCCUGGAAACUUUGACAGAGGUUGGCUUCUAGUUUCUUUACCAUCUGGACAUCUGUUGCAGUUCAUAUAUUUUUUUAAGAUUUUUUUUUAAUAUAGACCAUUUUUAAAGUCUUUGUUGACUUUGUUACGAUACUGAUUCUGCUUUAUGUUUUGAUGUUUUGGCCAUGAGGCACAUGGGAUCUCAGCUCCUCAACCAGGGAUUAAACCCUCACCCCCUGCACUGGAAGGCAAAGUCUUAACCACUGGACAGCCAGGGAAGUCCCACAGUUCAUGCGUUUUGAUACCAUCCGUCAGUAUGUUGACGGUCCCCUCUUAGGAAGUAGGGCCAGGUGCGGGCUGAGCCGUGUGGUGCACAUGCCUGGGAGCCUGUACUGGGCUGGACCAGAAUCCUGGGGCUGAGGUCCCCACAGAGGGAUGGAGAACCACAGUUUCCUUCAUGACACUUGGCUCGUGUUUCUGCACAGUUUUCCAUAGUUCUGCCAGGGACCUGGCCAGUGCUGGUUCAUAGGGAGCUCUGUCAGUUCAGAUGUGCAGGCCUUUUACACAGGAGCCGCUGUGAGAGCCAGGAGCGCCCCCGCUGAUUUAUACACGUUGAUUCCUUUGACUUUAUUAAGUCAUAUUUGACACAGAUGCAGGUCCUAUGUAAAGAUGUUAUAUUUGUAUGUAUGAAUUUAGAGGUAUAAUAAUCAAGCAAAUGCUCUUGAACUUGCUGUGAACACCAAAACUAGAAUAUCACCAAUGUAUCUGAGACUACCCUGUGCCCCUCCCCUACCCUAUCCCCAUCUCCCCUCCAGAGGAUAUUGUUUUUCAUUAUUUUGCUCCUCUAUAAGUAUUUAAUAGCUUCACCAUAUAUAUGUGUACAGGUAAGUGAUAUACCAUGUCUUUUUGCUUGAUUGUAAGCUUUAUAAGUACUGUCUUUUGUGAUGUCAUUUCCCACUCAACUUCUGUUUCCAAGACUCAGCCGUGAGGUUGCCAGUGGCUGGAAUUCGCUCAUUUUUCCCUGAGCACUGUUCCUUUGUGAGUCGCUACCACAUUCUGCGUAUGUAUCCUUCUCUAGCUGAGCAUGUGCACCAGAUUCCGUGCAUUCUUUUCUCUGCAGCGGGCCCAGGCUUCUCUGCCCUGUUCUGUGACACUGGAACUGGACCCUCUAAACACUUUUCUUUUGCUAGCUUUGUCACUAGAAGGUUCUGGACAGACACUGCAGAAGGAAGGGCUCCGCUUCCUGGCUCUGGCGCUCUCCUUCUGGCUUCUAUGUUGUGGCUGCUGGUGGUAUGGGUGAGAGCCAGGGCGCCCCGCUGAUUUAUACACGUUGAUUCCUUUGACUUUAUUAAGUCAUAUUUGACACAGAUGCAGGUCCUAUGUAAAGAUGUUAUAUUUGUAUGUAUGAAUUUAGAGGUAUAAUAAUCAAGCAAAUGCUCUUGAACUUGCUGUGAACACCAAAACUAGAAUAUCACCAAUGUAUCUGAG
ensembl:lncRNA